rnacentral:rRNA from 1 species
UACGGAGGGUGCAAGCGUUGUCCGGAUUUAUUGGGUUUAAAGGGUGCGUAGGCGGCUUUAUAAGUCAGGGGUGAAAGCCGGCAGCUUAACUGUCGAAAUGCCGUUGAUACUGUAGAGCUUGAGUACAGAUGAGGUAGGCGGAAUUGAUGGUGUAGCGGUGAAAUGCAUAGAUACCAGCAGGAACACCGAUUGCGAAGGCAGCUUACUGGGUUGUAACUGACGCUCAGGCACGAAAGUGCGGGGAUCUAACAGG